rnacentral:rRNA from 1 species
AGUGAACGCUGGCGGUAUGCCUAACACAUGCAAGUCGAACGGCAGCACAGUAUGAGCUUGCUCUUACGGUUGGCGAGUGGCGGACGGGUGAGGAAUACAUCGGCAUCUACUUUUUCGUGGGGGAUAACGUAGGGCAACUUACGCUAAUACCGCAUACGACCUACGAGUGAAAUCAAGGGAGCUUCGGACCUUGCGCUAUCUCAUGAGCCGAUGUCGGUUUGGCUAGUUGGCGGGGUAAAGGCCCACAAAGGCAGCGUUCCGUAGCUGGCCUGAGAGGAUGAUCACCCACACUGGAACGGAGACACGGCCCAGCUUCCUACGGGAGGCAGAAGUGGGGAAUAUUGGACAAUGGGCGAAAGCCUGAUCCAGCAAUACCGGGUGGGUGAAGAAGGCCUUCGGGUUGUAAAGCCUUUUUGUUGGGAAAGAAAAGCAGCAGGUUGAUACCCCGCUGUUCUGACGGUACCCAAAGAAUAAGCACCGGCUAACUUCGUG